rnacentral:rRNA from 1 species
GACGGAGGAUGCAAGCGUUAUCCGGAAUGAUUGGGCGUAAAGCGUCUGCAGGUGGCAGUUCAAGUCUGCUGUCAAAGACCGGGGCUUAACUUCGGAAAGGCAGUGGAAACUGAACAGCUAGAGUAUGGUAGGGGCAGAGGGAAUUCCUGGUGUAGCGGUGAAAUGCGCAGAUAUCAGGAGGAACACCAAUGGCGAAGGCAGCACUCUGGGACGUGACUGACGCUGAGACGCGAAAGCGUGGGGAGCAAACAGG